GGAAAAAUAAGUGAAGGAAACUGUACAGCCGGAAAAGCCAUAGGAUGAUACGAUGCUUGAUCUCAAUUCAUCUAAUCUAUAUAAUAGAGAUAUAAGCACAUAGGUCACUUCAAAUUUGGACGUAGGUGACUUAGAAGAAAAAGGGAAUUUUAUAGCGGUAUGAAACAAAAGAAAAAAGUUGAGUUUCAGCGCCGUGAUUCUGAAAUGAGCAGCAAUCUAUUGAUGCAUGUCAGUCGCCGAAAAAGAUCGCACGCGCAGACUACAAAAUGUAUUACACAGGGCUGCUAUUUCUUGCUGCUGGACCGCUGAUGGAGUCUUGAAUAUCGCCAGUGGUGGCGCUUUGUGUAGCAGAGAGUUGAAGAUUCAGUAUAUAGCUCUUCUGGAUGCACCUUUGCAGUAAUGUGGCCCGGUUGCGUGUCGUGAAAGUGGAUUGACGGAUGAGACUCUCCUUUAUCAACAAAACAUUUAGGACAUGUUUUCAUGCAGUUCGAAAAAUGCUAUAAAUGAGUUAGGAACGUAAUGGUAGUACUUUUAAUUUAUUUAAUGUAAUGUUAAAGUAAUGACAAGAUUUUAUAUAUAUUCUAUUUGUUGAAAAAAAUGAUAAUUUAUUAUUGUUGUUAAGAAUUGGAGAUUGUAAAUUGUUGUUUUUAAAUAAAUAAAAAGUUAAGUUAAUUGAUUA